rnacentral:lncRNA from 1 species
ACGAAAUAUAUUGAUUGAGAAGCUUCUUCAACCUUGAUCAUUUUUCACUAUGAAUCAAGAUAAGAAUUCAUAAAUAUUAUAAAAAAUUUUAAUUACUAAUCUAUUCUUCCUCCUGGCAUCCGAUGCGAUUGGAUAAAUUUUUUCUUCAACUGAUAUCAGAGCCAGGCCUGUAUGUAAUGAUCGCAUAGUCUAAUUCUGAGGUUUUUUUAAUUUUUUUGAUCUAAUUUUAAAUC